rnacentral:rRNA from 1 species
GUGGGGAAUAUUGGGCAAUGGGGGAAACCCUGACCCAGCGACGCCGCGUGAGGGAAGACGGCCUUCGGGUUGUAAACCUCUUUUGUACGGGAAGAAGGAAGUGACGGUACUGUACGAAUAAGUCCCGGCUAACUACGUGCCAGCAGCCGCGGUAAUACGUAGGGGACGAGCGUUGUCCGGAAUUACUGGGCGUAAAGGGCGCGCAGGCUGUGCUGCAAGUCAGCUGUGAAAUGUCUGGGCUUAACCCGGGCAUGCGGUUGAGACUGCAGUGCUGGAGUGCUGUAGAGGAAAGUGGAAUUCCCAGUGUAGCGGUGAAAUGCGUAGAUAUUGGGAAGAACACCGGUGGCGAAGGCGACUUGCUGGGCAGCAACUGACGCUGAGGCGCGAAAGCCAGGGGAGCAAACGGGAUUAGAUACCCUUGUAGUCC